rnacentral:rRNA from 1 species
UACGUAGGGCGCAAGCGUUAUCCGGAAUUACUGGGCGUAAAGCGCACGUAGGCGGCUUUGCAAGUCAGAGGUGAAAGCCCGGGGCUCAACCCCGGAAUUGCCUUUGAGACUGCAUCGCUAGAAUUGUGGAGAGGUAAGUGGAAUUCCGAGUGUAGAGGUGAAAUUCGUAGAUAUUCGGAAGAACACCAGUGGCGAAGGCGACUUACUGGACACAUAUUGACGCUGAGGUGCGAAAGCGUGGGGAGCAAACAGG